CCCUUAGAUGUUCUGGGCUGCACGCGCGCUACACUGAAGCGUUCAACGAGUAUUUCACCUUGCCCGGGAGGGUUGGGUAAUCUUUUUAAAACGCUUCGUGAUGGGGAUAGAUUAUUGCAAUUAUUAAUCUUCAACGAGGAAUUCCUAGUAAGCGCGAGUCAUCAGCUCGUGCUGAUUACGUCCCUGCCCUUUGUACACACCGCCCGUCGCUACUACCGAUUGAACGGUUUAGUGAGGGCCUCGGAUUGGUCUCGGCCCGCUCUUUACCGGGCGGCGCCGUUGGUCGAGAAGACGCUCGAACUUGAUCGUUUAGAGGAAGUAAAAGUCGUAACA
rnacentral:rRNA from 1 species